rnacentral:rRNA from 1 species
GUCUACAGCCAUACCACCCUGAACACGCCUGAUCUCAUCUCAUCUCGGAAGCUAAGCAGGGUCGGGCCUGGCUAGUACUUGGAUGGGAGAAACCAGGGGACA